rnacentral:lncRNA from 1 species
GGCUCAAUUUGCCACGAAUCCCGAACCUCAUCACACCUUUAGUAGGAGAUAUUUUCAAGAAAACAUGAUCACCAAUCUGGAACUCUAGUUCUCUUCUCCUAUUGUCAGCAUAACUCUUUUGUCUACUCUGAGCUAUAAGGAGCCGUUCUCUGAUCACCUGUAUCUUAUCCACAGUUUGUUGUACUAUCUCUGGACCCAAUACUUUUCUUUCUCCCACAUCAUCCCAACAAAUUGGAGAUCGGCAUUUCCUGCCAUACAAUGCCUCAAAAGGAGC